rnacentral:rRNA from 1 species
UACGGAGGGUGCAAGCGUUAUCCGGAUUUACUGGGUUUAAAGGGUGCGUAGGCGGACUAUUAAGUCAAAUGUGAAAGCUCGCAGCUUAACUGUAAGAUUGCGUUUGAUACUGGUAAUCUUGAAUAUGGUAGAAGUUGGCGGAAUAAAUCAUGUAGCGGUGAAAUGCUUAGAUAUGAUUUAGAACACCGAUUGCGAAGGCAGCUAGCUAUGUCAUAAUUGACGCUGAGGCACGAAAGCGUGGGGAUCAAACAGG